AGUCCACAUCGACGGGGAGGUUUGGCACCUCGAUGUCGGCUCGUCGCAUCCUGGGGCUGUAGUCGGUCCCAAGGGUUGGGCUGUUCGCCCAUUAAAGCGGCACGCGAGCUGGGUUCAGAACGUCGUGGGACAGUUCGGUCCCUAUCCGUCGCGGGCGCAGGAAAUUUGAGAGGAGCUGUCCUUAGUACGAGAGGACCGGGAUGGACACACCGCUGGUGUACCAGUUGUUCCGCCAGGAGCAUCGCUGGGUAGCUA
rnacentral:rRNA from 1 species